rnacentral:pre_miRNA from 1 species
CUCCAGGCGCAGGGCAGCCCCUGCCCACCGCACACUGCGCUGCUCCGGACCCACUGUGCGUGUGACAGCGGCUGAUCUGUCCCUGGCAGCGCGAC